rnacentral:rRNA from 1 species
GUGCCAGCAGCCGCGGUAAUACGUAGGUGGCAAGCGUUGUCCGGAUUUACUGGGCGUAAAGGAUGUGUAGGCGGAUUUUUAAGUGAGAUGUGAAAUCCCCGGGCUUAACUUUGGGGCUGCAUUUCAAACUGGAUGUCUAGAGUGCAGAAGAGGAAAGCAGAAUUCCUAGUGUAGCGGUGAAAUGCGUAGAGAUUAGGAAGAAUACCAGUGGCGAAGGCGACUUUCUGGACUGUAACUGACGCUGAGGCAUGAAAGCGUGGGGAGCAAACAGGAUUAGAUACCCUGGUAGUCCAUGCCGUAAACGAUGAAUACUAGGUUUAAGAGGGUUC